AGGGUCUCCCUCUGUUGCCCAGGCUGGAGGACAGUGGUAUAAUCAUAGCUAACUGCAGCUUUGAACUCCUGAGAACAGCAAUCCUCCUUCCUCGGUCUUCCGCAGCAUUGGGAUUACAGGUCCUGAAGAAAAUGAAGUUGAUGUUUCAGUGAGACACCUGUAUGCCAGAGAGUAAAAGGGAUUAUUGUGGAUUCCUGAGAAUUUUCUACAUAUGAAAUCAUGUCAUCUAUGAACAGAGGAUCACAUCAAGAUUUCUUCUACAUAAGAGUUUGGUAUGUACUGUUUCUGCUACCAGUAAUGCUUUUAUAAACCUAUCACCACAUGCCUUUUUUUUCUUUUCAGCAUCAGGAUAGACACAGCUUUCUUUUGUCUUUUUUCAGAAAUGACUUCAAGUACCUUUGCUGAAGUAUCACACACACAAAAAACACAUCACCCUGGCCCUUUAUUUUCCAUUACCCAGUUUUAUUUGUGUCAUAACGAUAUCAAGUAUAUAAAAUUGUCUUAUUUGGCUCUUUACAUGUUUCUCACCUUUAUUGCCAAUAAUUAAGAGUUAUAAAAAGCUCUUUUAUUAUUC
rnacentral:lncRNA from 1 species